GGUCUUUCACGGGGCUCACGAUCCCAUCCUCCCUCCAGUCUUUGGUCUCCGGGAGAGCGGCGGCGUCGCGCAUCCGGUGGUUGCCGGCGAGCGUCGCCGAGCAGUUCUGCGCCGCGCCGAGCCGGCUCGCCUGGAACUCCUCCCAGCUCAUGUCCGCGAAACGGUUGAUGCCGAGGCGGUAGGGGAGGCCCCUCCGGUUGGUGGAGCGGACGAGCUCGAGGCUCUCGGAGAAGAUCCGGAACCGCCGCUGCACCUCCGCCGCGUCGCCGUACCUCUUCCCAUGCCUGACGGCGAAGCGGGCGAAGCGGAGGGCGUCGCGGGUGCGGCCGAGGGCGGCGAUGACGGUUGACUCGAGCGCGGAGGCGGCGUGGUCCGUGACGGAGCGGAUCGG
rnacentral:misc_RNA from 1 species